ACUCCUACGGGAGGCAGCAGUGGGGAAUAUUGCACAAUGGGCGCAAGCCUGAUGCAGCAACGCCGUGUGAGUGAAGAAGGUUUUCGGAUCGUAAACUCUGUCCUAAGGGAAGAAACAAAUGACGGUACCUUAGGAGGAAGCCCCGGCUAACUACGUGCCAGCAGCCGCGGUAAUACGUAGGGGGCAAGCGUUUAUCCGGAAUCACUGGGCGUAAAGGGUGCGUAGGCGGCUUAGCAAGCCAGGGUGAAAGGCAUUGGCUCAACCAAUGUAAGCCUUUGGAACUGUUAAGCUUGAGUGCAGGAGAGGUAAGUGGAAUUCCUAGUGUAGAGGUGAAAUUCGUAGAUAUUAGGAGGAACACCAGUGGCGAAGGCGACUUACUGGACUGUAACUGACGCUGAUGCACGAAAAGCGUGGGUAGCGAACAGGAUUAGAUACCCUGGUAGCACAGAG
rnacentral:rRNA from 1 species